GACGAACGCUGGCGGCGUGCUUAACACAUGCAAGUCGAACGAUGAAGCCCUUCGGGGUGGAUUAGUGGCGAACGGGUGAGUAACACGUGGGCAAUCUGCCCUUCACUCUGGGACAAGCCCUGGAAACGGGGUCUAAUACCGGAUACCACUCCUGCCUGCAUGGGCGGGGGUUGAAAGCUCCGGCGGUGAAGGAUGAGCCCGCGGCCUAUCAGCUUGUUGGUGGGGUAAUGGCCUACCAAGGCGACGACGGGUAGCCGGCCUGAGAGGGCGACCGGCCACACUGGGACUGAGACACGGCCCAGACUCCUACGGGAGGCAGCAGUGGGGAAUAUUGGACAAUGGGCGGAAGCCUGAUCCAGCAACGCCGCGUGAGGGAUGACGGCCUUCGGGUUGUAAACCUCUUUCAGCAGGGACGAAGCGCAAGUGACGGUACCUGCAGAAGAAGCACCGGCCAACUACGUGCCAGCAGCCGCGGUAACAC
rnacentral:rRNA from 1 species